AGCUAGAGGGGCUCUUGGCUGGCCAAAGGGAAUGGCUGCACCAUGGACAACUCAGUGCUGGUGGUCACUGAGGAAGAGCUCCUGGCUAGCUACUGGGUCUGAAUGUAGAAGAGCCCUGAGAUUUUCCUUUCCGUACAGCCAAUGGGAAAGUUAUAAACAAGGGAAUAUUGCAGCAGGACCCCUGUGGAGAGUUGGCUGGAUGUGACCGAGUGAGCAUCGUAUGAGUGCAAGGCAGCAAAAACCCCACCAACAUCCCCAGCAGCUGUAGACAAUAGACUACCCCAAACAUGAGAAGUAGGGCAUGGUCCUGUGGCUCUAGUUAACCACCGACCUUCUCAGAGGCUGCUGGUGGAGGGAGAGGUCUGGGGCCUAUGUCAGACCCCACUCACACCACUGCUGGAAGCAAAAGCCGUGCUAAAGAGCUACAGAUGGUACUAGCAGAGUGGCAGGAACUGUACUAAAGACAGCAUCACAUCAGUGUCUGGCCAAGUCACCCCUUGGAAAAGAACAUGCUGACUUUGGGGAAGCUUGGUGACCUCAUGAGGAAAUAGACAGCUCAGGAUGACAGCUCUGCAGUAAGAAGGGCUUCUUUACAAUAGCUGGAGACCCUGCUGGGAAGAGAAGUGACCCACUGAGCUGCCUUAAGGAGUCUUCAGUGGCUGGUCAAGCUGUGAUCUCGGCUGCAUGGCCCUUGCACGUGAACUUCCCUGGAGAGAACAGGAGCACUUGUGGCACCUUGGAGACUGGAGAGCGAUUUCAAGGAAGAUCAUUUUGGGGAGAACCAAAGCAGAAACUUCCAGCUUCCAGGCUUCCCUCAGGGAAGGGUCUUGUCAAUUCGUGUGAGCCCUUCCCCCACCUAUCCCCGCUAUAGUGAUCUCAGCUGUACGGGUGCUGUGUCGGGGCCUCUCACCAGAGUUCACUUCCCUCCACUGCAGCUUCAGCCAAGACCCCCCUCAAUGUUGCCUCUUGUUGGGAAGUCUCCUCCGUGCCCCCUCUUUGCAAAGCCCUCUGUGGAGAGGGUGACAGGACCCCUGAGCGGAGUUCUUGCCUCCAGGUAGGACCUUGUUCCCCUCAGUCUUGUUCUCUCCGUUCAGUGACAUUAUCUGACCAACUUGGGGCUCGUGUACAGUCCUGGUGAGGACCCAAAAGGUCAUGGAGGGUUUCAGGUAGAAAGCUUGGGCAGUGAGUUCUCCAGCUGUACUUCCCCUGUCCGCUGCUCUUUCCCCUGUUCACCAAUGGAUGGUGGCAAUGAGCCAUGUAACAUCUGUGGAUCAGGCUGCCAGGCUCACACAUUGCCUGGGCUGGUAGCUGUGAGCUCUGCUACCAGCUCCAGAGUUCCAGUACCAUGGUGACUGACACUCGUAAAACACAGACAAGGUGGGUGAAGCAGGUAAUCUCUUACUGAACC